rnacentral:rRNA from 1 species
AUGGUAGGAUAGAGGCCUACCAUGGUGGUAACGGGUAACGGGGUGUUAGGGCACGGCACCGGAGAGGGAGCCUGAGAAACGGCUACCACAUCCAAGGAAGGCAGCAGGCGCGCAAAUUACUCAAUCCCGACACGGGGAGGUAGUGACAAUAAAUAACAAUACAGGGUUCUUUGAAUCUUGUAAUUGGAAUGAGUACAAUUUAAAUCUCUUAACGGGGAACAAUUGGAGGGCAAGUCUGGUGCCAGCAGCCGCGGUAAUUCCAGCUCCAAUAGCGUAUAUUAAAGUUGUUGCAGUUAAAAAGCUCGUAGUUGAAUUUCGGGAUCAAUACGUCGGUCGUGCUUUCGGGUACGUACUGGCGUCAUUGGUUUCUCCUUUCUGACGAACCAUGAUGUCAUUAAUUUGGUGUUAUGGGGAGUUAGGACUGUUACUUUGAAAAAAUUAGAGUGUUUAAAGCAGGCAUUAGCUUGAAUACAUUAGCAUGGAAUAAUGAAAUAGGACGUUCGAUCCUAUUUUGUUGGUUUCUAGGGUCAACGUAAUGAUUAAUAGGGAUAGUUGGGGGCAUUAGUAUUCAAUUGUCAGAGGUGAAAUUCUUGGAUUUAUUGAAGACUAACUACUGCGAAAGCAUUUGCCAAGGAUGUUUUCAUUAAUCAAGAACGAAAGUUAGGGGAUCGAAGACGAUCAGAUACCGUCGUAGUCUUAACCAUAAACUAUGCCGACUAGGGAUCGGAUGAUGUUAAUUUUUUAAUGACUCAUUCGGCGCCUUACGGGAAACCAAAGUGUUUGGG